AUGUCCAGCAAGGAUUCCGCUCCAGAGCUGACCUCCCUUCUCGGGGCUUCUCGGAAGAACUUGGUGAUAGGCCUCGAACGGGACACAUCGGGGCUGGAGCUGCCAGGACCAUGGAUCCGUCUCUUGGCGCCUCAGCGCUUGAACCCUUGCAGUCCUCUCUCAGGAGAGAAGAUGCGUAAACGGUCAUGUGACAGUGACUUGCAGGAAACAAGCUCUGCGAAGGAAUUUCAGUUGCGGCUCACGAGCAAGAAGGCUGCCCGUGUCCCGUCGGGAGGUGGCAGCCCCGCGGGGAGGACAGCACUCUGCUCACGCCAUUCAAAACCCGGCACCUGUGGAGCUCUUUCUGUGAGCCCGACUCUGGCCCCUCGGUCGACCUCACAGCAGACCUGCGGAGCGGGUGCUUGUCAUCAGCCUCACCUGACAGAUACUGUAUUUAUGAGAACUGACCUCCCGAUGGAAAUUUGGCAAGAUUUCACGUUCUGGAGACGUUGUACCUUCCAGCCCGUGUCCCGAGGACGGAGGUCGCGGGCUUCCCAGGAGAUGCGGCGUUCCCCUGGGUGCAGGAGUACCGGGGACCGAGAGGAGGGGCCCAGCAGAGCCCCAGGCCCCAGGCGGGUCCUCCAGCGGUGAUGUCCUGUCCUGGUACAGUGGGUCCCUGGCUCCUGAGCCAGGUGCUGAGAGGCACGUGUGAAUAAGGCAUGUUUGCUGCUUGCGAGAAGCUUCCGCCCAGUGACUCUUCGGAGCAAUAACAGAACAUGCACACGCAAGACUCCAAGCACAAAUUCACGGCCACACAGCCACACACCGAGCCAGUACAGUGACUGCAGCACCGUCUGAGCCCACAGCAGCAGCCACCACGUCCAGAGGCUGGUAAGCACCAUGGGUUGGUUGCUGUGUUGGCGGGGGUGGCCUUUGAACCCAAGCCACAGAGGGAGGGUGGCCCCUCCCCUGCUUCCCCCUCCGAGCCCCCCCCCCCCCCCCCCCCCCCCCCCCCCCCNCAGCACACGCUGCUCCCUGCACCGGUCUGGGCCCUGGGAAUCUGACGGGAACAUUUCUCCUGUUGGACCCUGUUCUGGCUUCCGCUGGCGGAUGGGGCUUCCCACCAAAACUGAUGCGGGGCCAGCAAGAGGUGGGGGCUGACAGCGGGGCGGGGAGCGGUCAGAACUCUGGGUCUUGUAAGUCCAGACGUCCUGUAAACUCUGACCAGAGCCUAAACAUCCCUGCACUGAGGGGAGGAUGUGCUGCUGGGCAGGGGGCCCGGCGCCUCCAUCUGCUCCGGGACAGGCUGUUUAUGCCGCAGCCCUGGAGGCCCCGGGCUCCUUCCUGUCGCGGUCUGGGCAAGUAGAGGCGGGAGGGGCAGCCCCACCUGGGGGCCUGAGGCCUGGGACUCAGAGUCCACCUGUCACGGCCAGAAGGGAACUGUCAUAGCUCCAGAAGCCCAGCUCUGCCCCCUUCUCGAAUCUCCCUCACAACUGGUCCCCUGGUUCCUCCUAAACCACCUCAGCUAAGGGGGAACUCUCUUUUCCCCAGGGCAGUCAGUUCUAUUAUCUGGCAGCUGGAAAGUUCUAGAAAAGAUGAGUUCUAGAAUUGUUCAGUGCACCUGAUUGAGCACAGCCACAAUAACGUCUGCA
rnacentral:lncRNA from 1 species